rnacentral:lncRNA from 1 species
CUGCUGCUCAAACCUGCUUUGCCUGUAAGAUAUCAAACUGAGGCAUUUCCUUUCCACCUAUCCUACUUUUCUUCUCUCUCCUCACUAAAUGGUAGGGAAUCUUCUUUCUCACCCUCCUGUCUAGCUUCCGAUUCAUUCUCUCUUCUCUCAGCUCACUCCAGCCUUCUGACCAACCUUUUCAAUGGCACAAUAACUGCCACCAGUAAUUAACUUUCUCUACCAAUGUUCAGAUUAUUCUUAUCUCUGGGAAGUUUCCAUUAUCUUCUAUUUUUUUUUUUUUUAGGAUGAAUCAUGGUUGCGAAGCUUUAUCUGACUUGUGGCACAGUAAGGGUAGGUUUUGGAGUUGGAGUUACACACAGCUUGUUGUAUCCUGAAUUAAAUACUAAUCCUCCUGCUUAGAAGCCCAUGCUGUUUCCAAUCUUGCUCCAGCCUGGCUGUAAACUCCAAAUCAGAUCCUAUUCUUCAGUCUAACACCUCUAAUUGUUGUUCUUCAUAGAUGCCCUGCUUUCCUGGUUUGGGUACUUCUAGUUAUUUCUUUCAUUUCUUACUUAUCCUUCUCUGUUUCUUGAAAUCCUAACUGUUCUUCAAAAUUAAUCUUGAGAGUAAUCUGCUUCAUGAAGACUGUUGUGGUCUGGAUGUGAGGUAUGCCCCUCAAAGUUCACCAAUGCAAGAAGGUGCAGAGAAGAAAUGAUUGGCUUAGGAGAGCCUUAACCCAACCCGUGAAUUAAUCACCUGAUGGGAUUAAUUGAGUGGUAACUGAAGGCAGGUGGGACAUUGGGGGCGUGACUUUGGGGUAUAUAUUUGUAUCUGGUGAGUGGAAUCUCUUUCUCUGCUCUCUGAUCAUCAUGUGAGCCACUUCCUUCUGCAACAUUGUUCCGCCAUGUUGUUCUGCCUCACUUUGAGACCUGAGGAAUAAAGCCAGCUAUCUAUGGAUUGAGACUUCUGAAACCAUGAGCCCUCAAACUUUUCCUCCUCUACAGUUAUUCUGGUUGGGUCCUUUUAAUCACAUCCGUGAAAGUCUGACUAAAAUAAAGACUUUUCUGAUGUCUCAACAGGACAUAAAUUUUGCCUCUUUUGGACUCCUAAUAAAGUCUUAACCAAAGAACUUGGAGUAGGAUUCCACUGUUUCUGUUCACUAGUGGUUGACUAUUGUCCAACUCACUAAAGCUCUCUGAACCUUAGAUUCUUUCUUUGCAAAACAAAGACAGAGCUAUCUAUCUCACAGUACUGUGGGGAAGGAUAGAUGAGAAAGUAUAAUAUGCAUAAAGUGUACAGAACAUUAUCUAGUUGGCUACUAUUAUCAUUUUAAAGCCUUUUUUUUGGUCUAUUACCAAUGUCUGCCUGGAAUUGAAAAUAUUUUAGCAUAUUUAUCUCUUAUCCCCUCUAGACAAGAUGGUUACUUGGUCUUAUUCAUAUUUAGAUCACUCAUCUGAUUUUUUUUUUAAACAUGUGAAAUGAGCCUUCCAUAUGUUUGUGCAAUCAAAGGGCACAAGUAGGGCAAGGACUUCUUAUGUGCAACAGCUUAGGAGCAAUGCAAACUAAGAGAGAAUGGAGUACUAUGAGCAGGUGACACUAUAAAUAGGAACGGGGAGGUAACCUUCACUGUGAACCCUGGGAAUAUAUAAUUCCUGGUCCCAGAUGUUGAUUAAUGAGUGUCAUAAAAUUCACAGAAUAGGGUUUGCCAGCUGCUUCUAGUUUUCAUCAUAAAUUAACAAAUUAUCAUUCUGUCAACAAAAAAUCGUUUGGAUAUUAAUGUAAAAGAAAAUCUUUUUUUUUUUUUUUUACUAGGAGCUGAGUCCAUGGAGCUGGACUGGGGAAUGAGGGAUGAUCCUGGAGAGACUAAAGGUAAGGGGAUUUGUACUGCCAUUGGGGCCAAGUGCCAGGGCUUAUAGUUGACCAUGAAAAUGUGUUCAGACACUGUGAAGAAGUGAUCUUGGUUAAAAAGCUCGUCCAUAGUAGAAUGGGAAAGAGGGAGGAAAAAUGGGGCCCGACUCGUUCCUUCUCUGGAAUAUGUUUUUCAGGCUUUGUAAGGGAAUUGACUGUGCUCUGGCUGUCAUCAAAUUGGAAACCAAGGACUCUGUCUAUACAGAAAGUCAGGAUAUAGGAAAAUAAAUCCUGGGUCUUCAGGACUGAGUGGUGUUCUCAAGGUGAACCAAUACCUGCUAUUGCCACAAGGCUCCUGGGUGCUUUCCUGCCCGUGAACAUGCAGAUACAGGUGGGUGCCUGUCUAAUGGCUCCAGAAGGCUUGAGUGUAAGAGAGGAAAGAUGAUAGAUAGGAUGCUGAGGAGAAGCAGGGCCACCUGUGUGUCUCAAGCAGGGUUAUCCUGGUUCAGUUAGAUGGCAUACAAUUGAGUUUGAUAUUUGCUGUAUGUUCUGUUAGCUUAAGUUUACUUACAAGCAUGUAGAGGCACUGGAAGAAUUCAGAAUAAUGAUUAUUACCCUGGUGUGUAGUUGUACAAAAUCAAAGCUACACAAUUUCAUUCUGAUGAAAGAGUCUUGUGGAAAAGGAAAAAAAAAGAAAGAAAAACUGAGAAUUUAAAAAUAAAAAUAUGUUGAAUAUAGAACCCAAUUAAGCUUUACUCCAAAUUUUUUAUUGCAUAUUAACUUAAUCCAUUCUCUGUUGCUAUAACUGAUUGCCAUAGACUGGCUAAUUUAUAAAGAAUAAAAAUUUAUUUAUCUUACAUUUCUGGAGGCUGGGAAGUCUGUAUGGCACCAACAUCAGAUGAUAGCCUUUAUUUCACAUGAUAACAUGGAAAAGAAAUCAUGGAGUGAGAUACAGCAAGCAUGCCAGAGACAGCCUGCUUUUAUAACAAAGCGACUUCCAAGGUAAGCUUUUAAUCCAUUAACCCAUGAGUGACCAGUCACCUCCUAAAGGUGCCAUGUCUCAACACUGAGUGUGACUUUGGGGAUUAAGUUUCCAAAACAGGCAAUCUGGGGGCUUGCCGAAACCACAGCACAUAUCAUUUUAGAAAGUAUGGCGCUCCUGUUGCAGUUAGGAUCACAGUGAGGGAGUUAAUUUGGAGGAGAUGGAGGAUAGGUGAUAAGUCUGAUUCCCCAAAUUUGGAAUUUAAAAUAAUAACAUGACCUGCCCAUAGGGGAAGAAAAGAUAAAAGGCCAGUGGAGAAUGUGAACUAGGUGACGGCCACUUGGGAUUAGAAAUAUAGGUUUCAGGGGAAUCAGCAUUUAGGUGAUGAUGAAAUCAUAGAUUAUCUCUUUCAGUGGAAAAAGAGGACGGAAAAGGUCAGAAGUCCACACACUGAUCUGAGAGGACAUUUGCAUUCAUUGGUUGGAGGCAGGGGAAGAGUUGAGGCUUGGCUGGAGAAGAAGGAGUGUGUGCACGAGUUUCCAGGAAGCAGUGUCCUGUGCCAUUAAGUGCAAGAGAGAGAUCUAAGUAGAAGGGAUGCUGGAUUUUGCAAUAAAAAUUUCAUUGGUGACCUUUGAAAGAGCAAUUUUCAUAAAGUGGGCAUGGCAGGAUUCAAGUUUCAGGGGAUGAUGGGGGGAGAAAGAAGAAGGGAGUCUAUUUCCUAAGGUUCAGUGGUUUUGACAGGAAACAAAAGGAGAGAAACCAGAUUCUCCUUAGGAGACUGGGGGUCCAAUGUGUAUUUUUUUCUCCCUCGCAGAUUAUAGAUUGUCUCUUUUUGACAGAGUGGUUAUUUUGUCUCUGUUUCUCACUCCGUAACAUUUCCUCCAACACGGAGAAAAAUCAGUAGCCACCUGAGAUUAUGACUGACCUUUCUACCCAAGUAGCUUUUUCAGACUCUAAAUGCCAGCCUGCAGGCUGUUGGCAGACUUUACUUCUGCUUCUCAACUCUGGAAUCUUCACAAAUCUGUCACUUUUCAGGUGCCAUUGACACACCUCUUUGAGGUGAUGUGGUCUCCAGGGAUCUGACCUCACGGAUGAAUCAAUGUCACUAAUGCAAGAGUGGGCUUUGUUAUAAAUGUGGGUUUGUCCCCCUCUUGAUCUCUCUUCUGUUGCUUGCCCACCAUUGAUGCCUUCAGCCAUCUUAUAAUGCAGCAAAAAUGUCCUCCCCAGAUGUGACCUCUUGAUCUGGGACUUCCCACCCUCCAGGACCAUGAGCAAAAUACACUGCUAUUAUUGAUAAUUUACCCGAUUCUGUGGCAUUCUUUUAUAACAUCACAAAAUAGACUAAGGCAGAAACCUGGUCUUAAGAAGUGGGGCUGUUUGUAUAGCGAAUACCUGAAAAUAUGGCAGCGGCUUUGGAACUGGAUAACAGCUAGAGGUUGGAAGAAUUUGCAGGCUAGAAAGAGCCUACACUUCCACCAAUGGAAAAUUAAGAGCAAUUCAAAAGUAAAGAACUUGAGGGAAAGUCAGCAAUGUGGAGACUCUGUGAGUGGUUAUGAUGAGAAUACUGGCAAAAAUGUUGACAGUGAGUGACAUUUUGAUGAGGUCUCAGGUGGAACUGAGGAGCAAGGAAUUGAAAACUAGAGUAAAGGCCAUCCUUGUGACACACUUGCAAAAAACUUGAUGAAACUGUGUCUGUAUCCUAGGGCUUUAGGGAAGGCAGAAUUUUAAAGCAGUGAACUAGAAUAUUUAGCAUAAGAAAUAUCUAAGCAGUAAAGUAUCCAAAUGUGUAUGUCUUCUUUUGGCUGCUUACAGUAAAAUAAAAGAGGAGAUAAAUGAUUUAAAUCUAUAAUUAAAAGGGAAACACAUGUUUUGAUUUCCUAACUAGAGGAGAAUUUGCCUCAGGAUGUGUAGUUGACUUUGGACUUUUCAAAUGGCACAGGAACGAGUUGAGACUUUGGGUGUUAGUGGAAUAAAAUGAACACAUUUUGCAUGUGAGAAGAACAUAAAUUGGGGGGGGGGGCUGGGGUGAAACGCUAUGGUUUGAAUGUAUCCCUCAGAGUUUAUGUACUGAAAUCUUAAUCCCCAAUGCAUCAGUGUUGAUAAGUAGAGACUUAAAGGAAGAGAUUAAGAUUAGAUCAUGAGCCGGGUGCAGUGGCGCACACCUGUAAUCGCAGCAGCUCAAGAGGCUGAGACAGGAGGAUCAUGAGUUCAAAGCCAGCUUCAGCAAUGGUGAGAUGCUAAGCAACUCAGUGAGACCCCGUGUCUAAAUAAAAUAGAAAACAGGGCUGGGGGUGUGGCUCAGUGGUCGAGUGCCCCUGAGUUCAAUCCCUGGUACCCCUACCCAGGAAAAAAAGAUUAGGUUGUGAGGACUCUGGCAUCAUGAAUGGAUUAAUGUCAUUCCUCUAAGAGUGGGUGUGUUCUCAAAGUGAGUUUGGCUCCUUCUUACUGUUUUGCAGGUGAUAUCUUCUACAGUGUUAGGACACAGCAAGAAGGCUCUCACCACAUGAAGCCCCUUGAUCUUGGACUUCCCAGCCUUCAGAAUCAUGAC